UGCGUAGGCGGCCCGAAAAGUUGGGUGUGAAAGCCCUCGGCUUAACCGAGGAAUUGCGCCCAAAACUACCGGGCUCGAGGGAGAUAGAGGUGAGCGGAACUUAGGGUGGAGCGGUGAAAUGCGUUGAUAUCCUAAGGAACACCAGUAGCGAAAGCGGCUCACUGGGUCUCUUCUGACGCUGAGGCACGAAAGCUAGGGGAGCGAAGAGGAUUAGAUACCCUCGUAGUCCUAGCCUUAAACGAUGAGCACUGGUUUAGAGGGCCCUCCAUAGCCCUCCAGACGUAGCGAAAGUGUUAAGUGCUCCGCCUGGGGAGUAUGGUCGCAAGGCUGAA
rnacentral:rRNA from 1 species